UCUUUGCACCCGAAUUGCGGUUCGGCCUCCACCCCAAAACGAGGCCGCUAAGAGGGAAGGCCGUGUAAAUCGGCCGCAGUACCCGCUGCUGUAAGCCCAAUUUUUGCUUAAUCUGUUCAUGCCACUGACUCAUUAGCUCAUAGUUGGGAAGGCUGAUUAAGCUGGGCGAGCCAGAAUACCUGCCGCAUAGCCGACUGCUUG
rnacentral:ncRNA from 2 species